GUUACUGUAUAAUUCAAUCCGUUUGACUCCUAAUGCCAGGAUGACUUAGAGCUCACUGUCAACCCUAUAAUUAGUACAUCUAUUAUGUGAUUAACUUUAGAUAUCCUGUGACUCCUCACUGGGAUUACCCUGGCCAAGGUUUUGCUAAAUUAAUCACAAGACAUUAUCUCCUGUUUCCAGGAAGGGUCAAUUCCAUCUUGACUCACAACUGACUACGCAAGUACUUGAUUGCACCCAGUGACCUUCCGUC
rnacentral:lncRNA from 1 species